rnacentral:sRNA from 1 species
ACAAGUUGCUUCUGUAUAGAUGCUGCUAUGUUUGGUGAAUUCUGCUAAGCGCAAGAGGGAACGGAAUAGUCUCAUCUCCUUGAGUCUGAUGGUUUCAUCACACCCGGCCUUGUUUUCCGUGGUAAGGUCAUCGGGAGGCACCCGACACCAAACAGCCUGGUCUAGCGAAUAGACAAGUGCCUGACUUUCACUCAGGUGCGAGUUGCGACAUUGGU